rnacentral:rRNA from 1 species
UACGGAGGGGCUAGCGUUGUUCGGAAUUAGCUAGGCGUAAGCGCACGUUAGGCGGCUUGUCGCGUCGACUGUGAAAUCCCGGCGCCGUCAACUGCGGGUCUGCAGGUCGAUACGGGCAGGCUAGAGUUCGGUGAGGGAGACUGGAAGUUCCUGGAUGGUACGGUGAAUGACGCAGACGUAUCAGGAGGAACACCGGUGGCGAAGCGGGUCUCUGGGCCGAUACUGACGCUGGAGGAGCGAAAGCCGUGGGAGCGAACAGG